AAUAUCUCGUUUCAUUAAGAGGAGUGAGAUAUCAUGAACCGGAGUACUGGAAGUUUGGAGAAGAGGGUAACAAGUACUUCCGCCAUGCCACUGGUCAGCUCUACGCUAUUUCCAGGGAACUUGCGUCUUACAUAUCUAUAAACCAAAACGUACUUCACAAGUAUGUGAAUGAGGAUGUCUCUUUAGGAUCAUGGUUUCUUGGAUUGGAUGUGGAGCAUGUAGAUGACCGUAGGCUCUGUUGUGGUACAACAGAUUGUGAGUGGAAGGCACAGGCAGGCAACAUGUGUGUUGCCUCGUUUGAUUGGAGCUACAGUGGGAUUUGUAGAUCAGCGGAUAGGAUGAAGGAUGUUCAUCGGAGGUGUGGAGAAGGCCCAAAUGCUCUCUUGGCUGCAUCUUUCUGAACAAAAAAGUAAGAGAAGAAACACAAUUGAGGAAGAAGAGUACAGGGAGAGACAACAUCAUGUUGUUGUAGUGUAGACACACACUGUAAAACUACUCGAAACUUCUGUUUCUAUAUAUGUAUGUAUGUAUGUAUCUUUUGAAGUGAGAUGAGAAGGGUGCUUUUUGCUCUCCUUUCUUGUUUCUUUUUCAGUUAUCUGAAGGUCUGGAGUCUUCUGCACACAGAACUGCAGAUUCUAGCUGCAAAAAAAAAGCAGACUCCAUGAGCGCACUUUCAGAGAACAUAGUCGUUGCAUUGAGGUGUUAUUUUUGCUUGUGCUUAAAACAUCCAAGUUUUGAGUUUUGCUUCUUUAUGGGAUUUACUUCUUUUGUUUAUUUUGUA